CGCCCUGGCUGUGCUCUGGUGUGUGGUGAGACCGGAACUGACUCUCGGUUAGGCUCCUCAGAAAGAAGUUCCUGUCGUAGAGUCCUAGUGGCGUCCCAUUCGCACCAAGCAAGUGGUUGAAGUGAACAAUGGCCAGUAAUCACAAAUCUGCAGCACCUCGCCCUAUUUCUCGGGGUGGAAUAGGACUAACAGGAAGGCCUCCUUCUGGAAUAAGACCCCCAUCUGGGACUGUUCGAGUGGCCACUGCAAAAUGAAAUGGAGGGCUAAGACACUCUGGAGGCUGAAGCAAGAGAACCUGAAUUCAAAGCCAGAUGUGAUGUCUGUGGUUUUGAAAUGAGUGAUGUUCAUUGUAAAACAAUCAAACAGUAGUUGACUGGGGAGCAUCUUCUUAGCUGUUUGAUGCCACCAGCAACAGCAAGACCAGGUUCCCGUGGUGGUCCCCUAGGGACUGGCGGAGUUUUGUCAUCUCAAAUCAAAGUUGCUGAUCGUCCUGUAACCCAGCAAGGUUUGAGUGGAAUGAAGACUGGCAUGAAAGGUCCCCAGAGGCAAAUUUUAGACAAAUCUUACUAUCUUGGACUUCUUAGGAGCAAAAUAAGUGAACUUACAACUGAAAUUAAUAAACUUCAGAAAGAGAUAGAAAUGUACAACCAAGAAAAUUCAGUAUAUUUGUCAUAUGAAAAGAGGGCAGAGACAUUAGCUGUGGAAAUUAAAGACUUUCAAGGACAACUAGCAGACUACAAUAUG
rnacentral:lncRNA from 1 species